rnacentral:rRNA from 1 species
UACGUAGGGUGCGAGCGUUGUCCGGAAUUACUGGGCGUAAAGAGCUCGUAGGUGGUUUGUCGCGUUGUUCGUGAAAUCUCACGGCUUAACUGUGAGCGUGCGGGCGAUACGGGCAGACUAGAGUACUGCAGGGGAGACUGGAAUUCCUGGUGUAGCGGUGAAAUGCGCAGAUAUCAGGAGGAACACCGGUGGCGAAGGCGGGUCUCUGGGCCGUAACUGACGCUGAGGAGCGAAAGCGUGGGGAGCGAACAGG